GAUGAACGCUGGCGGCGUGCCUAAUACAUGCAAGUCGAGCGAACGGACGAGAAGCUUGCUUUUCUGAUGUUAGCGGCGGACGGGUGAGUAACACGUGGAUAACCUACCUAUAAGACUGGGAUAACUUCGGGAAACCGGAGCUAAUACCGGAUAAUAUUUUGAACCGCAUGGUUCAAAAGUGAAAGACGGUCUUGCUGUCACUAUAGAUGGAUCCGCGCUGCAUUAGCUAGUUGGUAAGGUAACGGCUUACCAAGGCAACGAUGCAUAGCCGACCUGAGAGGGUGAUCGGCCACACUGGAACUGAGACACGGUCCAGACUCCUACGGGAGGCAGCAGUAGGGAAUCUUCCGCAAUGGGCGAAAGCCUGACGGAGCAACGCCGCGUGAGUGAUGAAGGCCUUCGGAUCGUAAAACUCUGUUAUUAGGGAAGAACAUAUGUGUAAGUAACUGUGCACAUCUUGACGGUACCUAAUCAGAAAGCCACGGCUAACUACGUG
rnacentral:rRNA from 1 species